UAAAAUGACUGGCAAGCAAACUCCAGGGGUC
rnacentral:piRNA from 1 species